UAACACUUAAGAACAUAAGAAAGUUUACAAACAAGAGGAGGACAUUCAGCCCAUCUUGAUCGUUUGGUUGUUAGUGGCUUAUUGAUCCCAGAAUCUCAUCAAGCAGCUUCUUGAAGGAUCCCAGGGUGUCAGCUUCAACAACCUUACUGGGAAGUUGGUUCCAGACCCUCACAAUUAUCUGUUCUGAAUGCCCCUUUAUCUAAUCUCCAUUUGUGUCCCCUGGUCCUUGUUUAUUUUUUUUCAGGUCAAAAAAGUCCUAUGGGUCGACAUUGUCUAUACCUUUUAGGAUUUUGAAUGCUUGAAUCAGAUCACCGUGUAGGCUUCUUGUUCAAGACUGUAAGGGGGAAGUCACCCACUGGUCCAAGGACGGUACCAAUGAUGUGGCUGAAGGUCUCCUACGUGUUCUGUCUUAUAUUGCGCAACAUUAAAUUAUACUUUGAUUAUUUGAUUUGAGUUCCACGUUUUAUUAAUCUUAUCAUUAAUUAUUUUCUUUAUUUCAUCUGACUCCAAUUAUGAUGUAUCUAUGCUCUGAAUUUAAGUUUUGUAUCUUAUUAUUUUUAAAUUCUCUCUUCUAGACUGCAUUUGUUAUUUCAAUGUUAUUUGGGUCCUGUGCUGGCCGGACACAGGUCCUUUAACUACAGAUUAAUCAGUUUCAGAUAUUAGUACGUUUUAGACUAAGUCCUUAUAGAUUCUCAGCUUUAUCUGUUUAGUCUGAUUUGGUUCAUAUAGAUUCUUGACUCACCGUUUAGCCCCAGUCAAUUAAGUUCUGUUUUACAGAUUCUCUGUCCUACUCUUAGUAUUCCCAUUUAAUUCUACUUGGCUAAGUUCUAUUAUAGAUUCUCGGUUUGCCGUUUAGCUUUUUUAGACCAGAUCAACUUGCCCCAUAGGAGACUGUUCCACCUGAUCUUGAUACAGAAUAUGCAUGUGACAUUCGUGUCAUACGCAUGCUGAGGGAGAGGACGCUGGGCAACAGCCCCACCAGAAUAGUAAAGCAGCUGAGGGAGAACCAUGAGGAGGAGUAGCUUGACCGCUUGGCGCACUAUAUGGAGGAGUGUGCGACUUUUAUCAACCACCCUAGCCUCUUACCUGUUGUGUACCAGAAGCUUCCAGAGCCCAUCGACUUCCCGACCAGCAAGUGGCUGCUGUCGGUUUACGGGAGGGACAUUAUCAGCCGUAUAGACCACAUCAAGGCCAGCAUUACCUCCACAUUUGGGACCAUUUUAUAAAUGGACUCCACAAAGCAGAAAGCUGCCGGGUGCAGCCAGGGGGACAGCACAGUGGCUGAUGUCUCUAGGAAAUGAGAUGGGCCAAAUACUUAUCAGUGUCCUGACUGCUCAGGAAGGACCUGGUCUAGACACCAUCGUCUCUGGCCUGACCAACAGGUACAGCUAGGCAGGUGUGGCUCCACCAGUGCUGCUGUACAUGGAUUCUGGCUGCUGCGUAGAGAAGGGGCAGAGCAAGUUACAGGCCAGGUUUGGAGAAUGGCCUGACCUGAUUAUCAGACUGGACAUCUGGCACUUCAUGCGUCAGCUGGCAGUGGGGUGCACCACCGAUGCCCAUCCUCUCUACCCAGCUUUCAUGGCAUGUCACUCUGCAUGCAUCUUUGAGUGGGACCCACGUGAUGUUGCCUUGUUGCACCAACCAAAGAGAGAGCACCUGCAGGAGGAAGGGGUGCCUGUCAUCACCGAUUACGUGGUGAACCGGCGCAUUACCAACACAGCUGGCUCUCUAUUGCCGUCGGAGGACCCAUGGAGUGGAGUCCAUGACCCGCCACAUUGACAAGCUUCUCCAGGAGCUGAAGGGGGAGAAGGGGAGAGAUCUGAUGGUUGUUUCUCUGCUAGACACAGAGAGGAUAGAGCACAUUUGGCGUGUUCAGAUGAAGCAUGUGAAGUGCAUCCAGGAUGUGCAAGGUGUGUCUCUCUACACUAAGACGGGGACCACCACCACCAAGGGAGGGAUAGUUCUCACCAAGUACAGGAACCAGUGCUAACACAUUGAAUUUUCAGUUGUAUCUCCUGGAAGGCCUGAACAGGUGGAACCAGGACCAGGCAGCAGCAUCCCACCAAGCCCUCCUCUCUUCUCACCUAUGCAGGCAAGGUAGUGCAGUCCAUCAACACUAACAGCCUGAAGGUUUUAAGUGAGAAGCUUGUGCCCACCUUCCAACCUCCUGCACAAUACACUGGAGAGCUAAUUUGAGUGGACUAUCUACUUAGUCAGAUAGGGCAACCGCUUCAGGCAAUGGAUGCUGACUCUGAGAACACAGACCAGCUGCUGGAGGAAGUAAAUGUAGAAGAGCAGGAUGAGGGAUUUGAGGAAGACUUUAAUGAGGACCCAACACUGAGUUUCCUCCUCGAAGUUGAAGCUGACUGGACCCCACCCACAGUUCAGCCAGCUGCUAACUUCUCCCAGCCAGCUGCACACUUCUCCCAGCCAGCCGAUGCCUCCAACCAGCCAGCUGCACACUCCACCCAGCCAGCUGCACACUCCUUACAGCCAGCUGCACAGUCCUCCCAGCCAGCCGGUUCCUCAUCCCUGCCAGCUGCACAAUCCAUCCAGCCAUCUGUACAAUCCAUCCAGCCAGCUGCACACUCCACCCAACCUGUUGCUGCCUCCUCCCAGGCAGCUGCAUCCACAGUCCAGUAUGAACCUGGUUCCCCCACUCAGGAGCCUGAGGACUUUUGGCUGUGGAUGAGCAAAAUAUUCCUGGGAUGGACCGGGUGGACAGCCUGGCUGAGUAUUUGGUGGAGCUGAGGACAAAGACAGGGCUAACCCUCAGCAGACAGCAGGUUGAAGACAUUGUGCACCUGUGGCAGAACCUGCUUCAAUAUGACAAGCAACGGGUGGUGUUUGCUGCCAGACACCAGGACAGGCUGACCACUGGGAGGUUCAGGUCUCCAAAAAAGAAGGCUGUUUUCACCCCUGGAGUGGACAGCCUGAAGCGAUGUGUGUUAGGGUCCACAGCUUCGCCUGCCCAAUGGCCAGACUGCUGUCAUCUUGUGGAGGCCAUUUUCAUCAGGCUCUGUUGCAUCCACAAGAGUCCCAGAAAGAAGUGUAAGAGCUAGCUGACGAGGUGGUCUCUUAUAUUGCAGGAUUACUGCAAGAUCCGGCAGCUUAUCCUGGCUAACAGUGCCAUCAUGCAGAGCACCACUCUGCAGCUGGUGGAGGUCAAUCAAACCACUCUGGUCUAGUGGCACAAUGACAGGGUUAAGAAGCAAGACCAGACUCUUCUGCUGCAGGGGAUUGAUCUGCCUGACCCUCUUAGUGUUGCUGCUGAGCCUCUCCCGCCUGCCUGUGUCCGUGCUUUUGCUCCACCCCAGGCCCAACAUGUCUACAACCUGCCAAAGAGCACUGCAGGGAAAGCUAGACUGAAAAGGCAUGCCCCGUGCAAUUCAACUGAGGCUGCCAGACCCAAGCUAACCACCCUGAGGCCACUAAUUCCUCGGCCUGUUGGCUACCUUGAACCAACCCCUGUCCUUCCCAGCUCACCUGUCACCCUUGCCUCCCACACUACCCCCACCUUCACUUUCAUUGUUGUCCCUCAAAACCCUCUUCCUAGACCCCCAGCCAUGUUGAAUUUUAAUCAACAAACCAGUUACGUCCUCCCACCUACUGCCAUGGCUGGUCCAUCUCAAACCACUGUCCCUCGUCCCUACCACAGGAAGGUGGCAAACACCUGCAGGAAGUGUGGCCAGUUUAGAACAGCAGUGACCGUGCACAGACAGUAUAGAGAGAAUAUCUACUGCCCUGCCACAUAGACUCUUACAAAAGAACAGUGGCUUGAAAAAGUGAAAAAAAUAUUUGCACAUCAUUUUAAAUGUUUAUAUAUUUUUGUAAAUAGUCUCUACUAAUAUGUAUAUAGUUUCUCUGCAGUUGUGUCUUUCAUUUCUACUAUUAUUAUCCAUCAGCAGACAUUUUAUGGUUCAUAGAACAGUGACUCCUCUUUGAUUCGUCUUUGACACUGUCCUUUUGCUCCAGUAAUCAUUCUGUGAGCCUGGGUGAAAAUGUUUUAAUAAUAUAUAUAUAUAUAUAUAACACAUAUGGCACAUUUCAAGCAACUUCAUAUUCAUAUGGGUAAUCAAUAAAUAUAAAACAUCUCAUCUCAUACUAUGAAAAGCAGACUUUGUAAUAAGACCAAUAUAGAAACAAGGCAUAAAAGUAUACAAAAUGUAAAAAGUGUUCAUACACUGAAAAAAGUAUGCAUAUAUUUUAUGCAAUUUACAGUGAAAUAUCAUCAUCAAACCACCCAUAAAUGAAUCUGGGUGACGAGUGAUUUACUUUCACUACCAGCAUUUUAUAACAGUACUCAUAUAUAAAGAAAUGACUUAGCUUGCAUUUAAUUAAACAGAAUCAUUAUCAAACUAAACAGAAGUCAAACAAUGUACUUAUCACCAAUAUUUCUGUAGACUAUCAGUAGUAAUUUCAAAGUUUUAUUUAUGUCGGAGGUGGGACUCAAACCAUGGUCCUUCUGUCUCUGUUGUAACGUACAUUUCAAUACAAAGCUGUUUUUUCAGUUAAAUAUGACUAUUAGUCUACCAAAAAAGUAUAAAAGUCGCAGGGGGAAUUUUCGCAUAGUGAAACCAGCAAAGUGGAAGAAAAUCUCAUUCCAAAGCAUUUGCAUUUCUUUACACAUACCAAUGUUUUGACAUUUUGGUUGAACAAUUACAGGACUGACUUGUCAAAUCCUCAAAUGUUACAUCACACAGUGUACAGAAUUGUGGAAAGACAAAUGCCAGAAAAAGAAAUAAAAGUAAAUCUUAGUCCAGCCCUAGUCUUAAGCCCAACCUUUCUUUGGAAGAUCCUAUUGUCAGACACCUGUGAAAUGGGAGGAUUAAUUUCAGGCAUGUACUUUAAAGAUUUAGAAAUAAAUGACAUCACACAGAAGACAAAGAUGUAGGCCUGGCUAGCUCACUUGGUAGCGCAUCAGAUUCUUAAUCUUAGGGUUGUGGGUUUGUGCCCCAUGUUGGGUAUGACUGUUAGAUAUUGUCACAGGUAUGUGGGACUAGUGCAAAUUUAUUCUCCCAUCCAUGCAAACACUCUCUGACUAGAGAGAAUGGCAAUGUUUCUGGAACCUUAUUCAGAAAUUCAGAAUAAGUAACAGGUCUCCAGCUAUCUGCUUCCAAAGAAGUAUCUCUAAAAAUAAGCAGUGUUUAUGUGUUUAACAAACCCCACUAACCGAUAUGUCUCUCCAAGUCUCAUUUCAAACCCUUGUCACGUAUGAGGCACAUGCUAUUGAUUGCCACAUCAUAACCCAGAUGGUGGCUAUUGUUGUGGAAUGUUGAAGAUUCUUUCCCUCUAUGCAAGAAAACUCUCAGAGUCAGGGGUUCCAGAUGUCAAACGUUAGAGUUUAUUGAGUAAACCAACAAACUCGAGAAGGCCAGCUGUCCGUUCUGACUUCCCAUUUACCAGACUCUAAUUUUUAUACAUUUCUGUUGUCUCUUUUGAGCCAAUAAAUCAU